GGGCGGCUAGUUCAGUGGUAGAAUGCUUCCUUCACACGGAAGAGGUCAUAGGUUCGAUCCCUAUGCCGCCCA
rnacentral:tRNA from 1 species